rnacentral:rRNA from 1 species
UACGGGGGGAGCAAGCGUUGUUCGGAUUUACUGGGCGUAAAGGGCGCGUAGGCGGUCGUGACAAGUCACUUGUGAAAUCUCCGGGCUUAACUCGGAACGGUCAAGUGAUACUGUCGGACUAGAGUACAGAAGGGGCAACUGGAAUUCUCGGUGUAGCGGUGAAAUGGCGUAGAUAUCGAGAGGAACACCUGCGGCGAAGGCGGGUUGCUGGGCUGAUACUGACGCUGAGGCGCGAAAGCCAGGGGAGCGAACGGGG